rnacentral:rRNA from 1 species
UCGGAGCCGGGUGUUGGUUCCGGUAGCGAUCGAGGGAAAUUAGUACCGAAGUCCGGGAUGGAAGAUGGCGAGAAAAGCUGUGUGUAUUUCUGCGGUGCCCGUACCGCAAACCGACACAGGUAGGUAGGAAGAAGAUUCUAAGGCCAACGGGAGAAGGGUUGUUAAGGAACUCGGCAAAUUGACCCCGUAACUUCGGGAGAAGGGGUGCUGCAGCAAUGCAGCCGCAGAGAAUCGGCCCAAGCAACUGUUUACCAAAAACACAGGUUUGUGCUAAAUCGAAAGAUGACGUAUACGAGCUGACGCCUGCCCGGUGCUGGAAGGUUAAGAGGAGAUGUGCAAGCAUUGAAUCGAAGCCCCAGUGAACGGCGGCCGUAACAAUAACGGUCCUAAGGUAGCGAAAUUCCUUGUCAGGUAAGUUCUGACCCGCAUGAAAGGCGUAAUGAUUUGGGCACUGUCUCAACAGCCCGCCCGGCGAAAUUGUAGUACCGGUGAAGAUGCCGGUUACCCGCGACAAGACGGAAAGACCCCAUGGAGCUUUACUGUAGCCUAAUAUUGGGUUUCGAUGUUGCAUGCACAGGAUAGAUGGGACACUGGGAAGCAGGUGCUUUGGCGCUUGUGGAGUGGCCGUUGGGAUACCAUCCUUGCGAUAUUGGAAUUCUAACCUGCGCCUUUGAAUCAAGGCGGGGGACAUUGUUAGGUGGGCAGUUUGACUGGGGCGGUCGCCUCCUAAAGAGUAACGGAGGCGUUCAAAGGUUCGCUCAGCUUGAACGGAAAUCAAGCAAAAGAGUGCAAACGCAGAAGCGAGCCUAACUGCGAGACUGACGGGUCGAGCAGUAACGAAAGUUGGAGUUAGUGAUCCGGUGGUAUGUGAGUGGAAAUGCCAUCGCUCAACGGAUAAAAGUUACCCUGGGGAUAACAGGCUGAUCUCCCCCAAGAGUCCACAUCGACGGGGAGGUUUGGCACCUCGAUGUCGGCUCAUCGCAUCCUGGGGCUGUAUUCGGUCCCAAGGGUUUGGCUGUUCGCCAAUUAAAGCGGUACGCGAGCUGGGUUCAGAACGUCGUGAGACAGUUCGGUCCCUAUCUGUCGUGGGCGCAGGAUAUUUGAUGGGAGCUGUUCCUAGUACGAGAGGACCGGAGCGGACGUACCUCUGGCGCACCAGUUGUUCUGCCAAGAGCAUAGCUGGGCAACUAUGUACGGAUCGGAUGAACGCUGAAAGCAUCUAAGCGUGAAGCCGACCCAAAGAUAAGAUAUCCCAUUGUUUCAAACAAGUAAGACCCCUUGAAGACUACAAGGUUGAUAGGCACGAUGUGUAAGUGGAGCGAUCCAUUCAGCAAGCGUGUACUAAUAGGUCGAGGGCUUGACC